AUCUCGCUCUUAGUCUCCACCCCUUCAUUGGUGGCAGCCAAUUAGAGAGGCCAAGGACUGUUUGAGAAAAGCUUUGCCUUAAAUGCAUGGGGAGAAGUGAUCAGGGCAGCGAACAGAGCAUCAUUCAGAUAGGAGAACAGAGCCUCUAUUACUGACACAGCAUCGAGCCAGCACACCUCCUACCACCAAGACCCAGUAGUUUCCAGGUAGGAGGCACAUCAUGAGUGACGAUCAGAGUCUGUCCGAGGUUGAGAUGAGCCCUGUUGGUUCUGAGGAUCCCUCCUUAACACCUGAACCUUUAGCAUCUAAUUCCCACUCUGGCCCAGAGGAUGAUGAAGAAGGAAAAGUGAAAAAAGAGCAUGAUUCUGAGGAUGAAAGAUUCCCUGUCUGCAUUCGUGAAGCUGUCUCCCAGGUGUUGAGCGGUUAUGAUUGGACAUUAGUUCCUAUGCCAGUUAGGGUCAAUGGUGGCAAUAAGUCCAAACCUCAUGUGAAGAGACCUAUGAAUGCUUUCAUGGUAUGGGCACAGGCUGCCCGGCGAAAGUUGGCUGACCAGUACCCACAUCUCCACAAUGCAGAGCUAAGCAAGACAUUGGGCAAGCUUUGGAGGUUACUAAAUGAGAAUGACAAGAGACCCUUCAUAGAAGAAGCAGAAAGACUAAGAAUGCAACACAAGAAGGACCAUCCAGAUUAUAAGUACCAGCCUCGUAGAAGGAAGAAUGGAAAGCCCACAUCAGGAGAGGGGGAUGGAUCUUCAGAAGCUGAAGGAGGUGCUGCCUCCAUACAGGCUCACUACAAAAACUCACACCUGGACCAUAGACACGGCUCCCCUAUGUCUGAUGGAAAUUCAGAGCACUCAGCAGGUCAAAGUCAUGGUCCUCCCACUCCGCCAACAACACCAAAAACAGAACUCCAGACAGGAAAAUCUGAGGGCAAGAGGGAUGGCUCCCGAUCUCUGGCAGAAGGAGGAAAACCCCACAUUGAUUUUGGCAAUGUAGAUAUUGGGGAAAUAAGCCACGAUGUCAUGUCCAACAUGGAGACAUUCGAUGUCAAUGAGUUUGACCAGUACCUUCCACCCAAUGGUCAUGCUGCACAUGCAAGUCACAUUGGGGGUUACACCUCCAGUUAUGGUCUCAGUGGAGCUUUGGCUGCUGGUCCCUCUGCCUGGGCUCUUGCAAAGCAACAUGCUUCAACUGUGGCAGAUUCAAAGGCUCAAGUGAAGACAGAAAGCUCAACUACAAGCCAUUACACCGAGCAGCCUUCAACAUCACAGCUGACAUACACAUCGCUGGGGCUGCCUCACUAUGGUUCAGCAUUUCCUUCUAUCUCCAGGCCACAGUUUGACUACUCAGACCACCAACCGUCAAGUUCAUAUUACAGCCAUUCAAGUCAAGCCACUGGCCUCUAUUCAGCAUUCUCCUAUAUGGGCCCUCCUCAGCGUCCACUUUACACUGCAAUCUCUGAUCCUCCUAGUGUGGCUCCAUCACAUAGCCCAACACAUUGGGAACAGCCAGUGUAUACAACGCUGUCAAGACCAUGAGAAUUACUGAGAUACAGACAAAGGAGGGACAUCUCUCGGAGAGCAACAUGCUCCGACGGGGUCCUCCCACUGCUCAAAUCCCAGGAACCUGAAGCACAGAAUUGACAUCAGGCACGGAACUUCCACCUCCCAGUGCCUUUGACAACAAAAAUCAGAUUGAGUGCCUAAUGGUGUCUACACAUUUGUAUAUUUGGGGUGGGAAAUAUGCUUAAUGACAGAGCAGUCAUUCUUUAUAAAAAAUGAAGAUAGGGUAACACUGAUUACUACUAAGUGAAUAGUGACAUUGCUACUUGGUAUGUAGGCAACACAAGUUAAAAUCUGUUUGACUAACAGUGACCAUUCCCUAAAUUUUUUAUAAUUACUUCAUAUCUCAGAUGACCUCUAUUGGCUUCUUUCAAAAAAGUGCAGCUGAGAAACCUGUGAUAAGGGACAUUAUAGAAAACACACAUUGCAGUGGGAUGCAGGUCCUGGGAUUCAUAGAAAUUGCCUAUUUUGGAAAACAGAGGCAUUCAUGUUAAGACUUUAGUCUUAGUCCAGUAGACGCAGAAAGCAAGAUAAAUAAUUAUGAUUAGAUUAUCAUAUAAAUAAAAAUGGAUUUAAAUCUGGACUAUGUGUAAGAAGAAAAAUGCUGAUUCUCAAAGUGAAUUUGAAGGUAGAGACCUGUCCAUUUAUACUGUUAGCUUAUCAUUCUAAAUAUUUCAGAUGUAUUAUGUACAGUACCUUGUUCUGUCACAAUUGUACUGUCUUUGGAGGCAGAACAAAAUGUCCCAUAUCUGCUUGCUCCUAUGAAGGAACAUUAAACAGCUUUGUAACACUUAAAGUA